rnacentral:lncRNA from 1 species
CCCGGUCUAAACUUCUACUGAUAUCCUCAGUUUUCAUCAUAAUCCACUAAUAUAUACAUUUUCUCACUCGUGCGUUAGGGACCGACGUGGGACAUUACCAAACCAUCCCAAUUUUCCUAAUCUUCUCCUGAAUCACUGCUACCCCAAACUUCUUCUGAUAUCAUCAGUUUUCAUCAUAAUCCAAGACACCGACCUUGUAUCGUUACAACAUUAGUCUUCGUACAAAUUUAUUAGUCUCAAGCCGUCUUAUUUUACUUCCCUUCCAUCUUGACAGGGGAAUUUACAAUUGCACCACCCCAAUGAUGUACAAGGCCACUCCACUCAUUCUGAUUUAAUCAUAUGGCUUAUAACCUCAUUAACAACUUGCGUUUUAUGUGGUAUUGAUCACAAGUGCUUAAAAGCACCCAUUCUGUGCACCUCUUAUUUCGACAUAUUCACAAUGUUUGCAUUUCUUUCUUACUGUGACUUAAUUUAGAUCCUUAAAUUCCAACGUACUUCUCCAUAUCUCCCACUUAGCAUCGCCUGACCUAAUCUUAUCAACUAACAAUAUCAUCAACUAAAAACAUACACCAUGUCACUUCAUCCCAUGUCUUUUAUUAGCUCAUCCACAAUGGUAAUAGAUAAGGACUUAACGCCAAUCCUCGGUGUAAUCCUAUAGUGAUUGGAAAAUGACUUGAUGUGUCAUUAGUCAUCACAUAUUAAGAGUAAAGAUAUAAAAGUUAAAGUCCAAUAUUCUUUUUUAAUAGGUAAUAUCCGAUAUUCUAUGCAUCAUUCACCAAAAUCAACUCCAUAAGAAAUUAAUGUAGUAACCUAUGAACCUAUUAUUUUUGAGGGAAAAACAAUGGUACCUCAAAGUGCAUAAACAUAUAUUCAAAUUCAGGUACAGCCUUACUUUGCAUGCAGUUCACUUGAAUAACGCAUCAUUGCAGGAAUCAUCUUCCUUGGGUUCAGAUUUUUAGUGAUCAUCCAUGACUCGACAGUUUCAUAUGCAUCUAGCAUGAUAAGAUCUGGUGCAAACUUGUACUGCAAUAUAACCAAAGUGUAUUACCUUGCAACAAUGUUGGAUAUAAGAAUACAACUUCUGCAGAAGGGAAGUUCCCAGCAUAUCAAAUAUAUGGCAAAGGCAAUAAACCAAAUAAAAAGAGGAUAUUUUUCUCAACAAUGUCUUUGUCAUUCGAUGGUAUCGUGUAGUACGUUAGUAACAACAAGAACAAAGAAUCAAGUCCAUUUGAAUAAACAAAAGCAAUGAAGAAGAGGAUGAUUGCUUGACUCAUUUUGCACUCUUAUCCCUGGUGCACUAUGACAAAAAAAUUCGACCCUAAUUCCAGCAUACCUGAAGAUCUAGAGGAACAGCAGGUUUUUGAAGAACUUCCAGUGCUUUCUUUGCUUCACCUUGCUAAAGAAGAAACAAAAUGAUAAGAUUUGAAUCUAGAUAACAAUAAACUAUUUAAAAAAACAGUAUCAAGUUAUCUCCAUAUCAAUUCAGUGUAUAAAACACUACCUCGUACAAGUAUAAUAACUAAAACCUUCUUCCGAUCAAAAGUAAGACCUCAGAUAAACCCAUGAUAAAAUGUAGAAUUCAUGUUCUUCAAAGUUGAAUCAGUACUGACUAGUUUAAGUACAUAUCAGAUUUAAUUAUUCCUUUUCUUUAUUUUUAAAUAAGCCUAAUAGAAAUGCAUUGAACUAUGAAACUUCUGCGCACAAAAUUCUUCUUUUCUUGAUAUAAAACUAUGAAUUUUUUUGGAUGCAUAUAUGACAGCAAAGUUUAAAAGCCAUAAGAUAUCAAACUAACAUCUAGAAAUGAGUACGUCUUUUCACAAUAAUAAUCAACUAGGGGAUCACAGCAUCAUUAAAAUAUAAUAUAUAUAUAUACACACACACAUGUGUGUGUGUGUGUUUAUGUAUCAUUAUUUAGUGGGUUUAGGGGCACAGAUCAUUAUUUAGUGGGUAGAGGGGGCAUAGAAAGCACUCUCAAACCCUAAAAGGAAAUAAAGCCGUGCAGCUACAAGAUAAUGCCUCCACUUAGAUUGGAAACACAGAUUACUCCCAUGUUAAGGAAGGUCUUAUACCAUCUAAGCUAUAGCUUGGUAACAAAUCAACAUAUCAAAGCAUCAAAUCUUGGUCCGAUGCAACCAAGCAUCAAAAAAUAAUUUGAAUGAUCAUGUGAGAGCAGUACCUUUCAAAUUAUUUUUUUAUUUCACUUAUAUCCCAUUACUAAAUAAAUAAAAAAUAAUAGUGGUCCUGGUCUCACAGUACCUCUUCAUGAUGACGUUAAGCACUAAUGCACACAUACAUAGUUGCAUACACACAAAUUAACCUGCCAACAAUUUGAUUUACCAAAACCCAAAUCAAAUGCAAACACGUGAACAACUUGCUGAGCAAAAACUAAAAUUGUAUAUACAUAACGUAAUGAUGACUAUGGUUGAACUCUUCAAAACAAAUUACAAAAUAGAAAAGUGAAGGACCUGAAUAUAAUGUUGAAUCACAAUCUCAUACUGCUCCUUUAGAUUAGCAAAAUAUACCAAUUCAUCAACUCUACCAUAACUGCAGGAAUUAGAAACAUCAUAAACCAUUUUAGAAUACUCUGAAUAACAAAGUUUUGCAGGCUGUAUAACUUAAUAAUUUAUGUAAAACAGCAAGGAAGGUGCUACAAGAGCACUGAUUAAAGAAUUUGAACAUCAACAUAUGACAACUAAAUACAAUAUGAACAACCUUUCUAAUAGCUUCAUUGUAGUUGCCUCAUCCAACACAUCCUUUGAGUCACUGAGAAAAGCCCGAAACUCCUUUAUGAUCAAUUGGUAUUCCGAACUACGACUUUCUGAAGCCGUGUCAUCUUCCAGCAGUAAUCGAUUGAUCUAGGAGUUAAAAUAUAUGAAUCUAUAAUUACUAGGGUACCCUGUAUGGAAUUUACAUAUAACAUUUAUUUGAAGCAUAAUAAAGAAUACAAAUAUCCCAAGAUAUUUAAGAAAUGUAUUCAUCAAUAGUCUGUUACUCCAAUAUGAUAUUAGGUUUCAUGUUGAGAUGUUUAUUUCAUGCUGCAUUAAAUCCAAUAUGAUAUUAGGUUUCAUGUUGAGAUGUUUAUUUCAUGCUGCAUUAAAUCCAAUAUGAUAUUAGGUUUCAUGUUGAGAUGUUUAUUUCAUGCUGCAUUAAAAAAAGUUAAGCAGAAAAGUCAUCAAAAAGCUACUCAAAAAACAUCCAAGAGAACGUACACUAAGAAGCAAACCUUGUCCAAGUACAAUUCAGUUGUCCAUGUUGAAAUCAUAGUGAUUUGGCAUUUAUCAUACUUGGCAAGAUUAUCCAGCUUCCGUAAUAAGAAAGUUCUCAAAGAGUCCUGGCAUGAAGUUAAAAAAAAACACAUGAUUUCAUAAGCUUGCAUAUCAGGUAGAGUUAUAUAUUCCUGAUAACAUCCAAGAAAAAUAACCAUGACCUGGAUUUCAAAGCUUUUCAGAAUCUUCAGAUACUAGUAAUAAUUAUUUCGUAAGUGAUGCACUAUUGACUGACUUAAGGUCAAGUUAGAUAACAAUGGCACUCUUGCUUUAACACCAUUUCCAGAUUUCCUAUGUUUGACAUCAUAACAUCUGAGUGUCAGAUAUGGCACAAAUGGCAUACCCAGACAAUAACUCAGAUAGUCUACUAUACAUAUAAGGCACUAGCACUGCAGAACAUGUAGAACUUACAUGCCAUAUUAGAGAUCAUAAAUUCAUUUAAGCUUACCGUCAUCUACAAAAUGUUACAUAGGCGUUCACAAAUUGCUCGAAACAAGCAUUACAAAUAUGGGGACAGAUAUUAAAGAAGCUAUAAUUGUACCCAGCCAUACAAUACUCAACUCAAUGUCUUAUAUUCCAUACUAGUUAUGGUAGGUUGCAAAUGAAUCCCAUAUGACAACGGAAUAAGUAGAAAGACAACAUGGCAAUAAAUAAAUAACUAAAAAGUGCAAAAUUAGGAAAUAAGAAAUAAGAAACUAAUAAAAUAACUAAAGUACAGUACAAAGGAUAUAAUGCAAGGAAAAAUAUAUAUAAUAUAUAAAGAACACACCGAAAUAUAUAAACAAUAAACAUACAAACAUAGAUAUUAAAAAGCAAAAGGGUGAAACAACCUACAAGGUCUUUCAUAUGCAGAUUGCGUUUCUACACUAGCUCCGACCAUAGGUCAUGUCCUCAGUAAUUAGCCCCAGCCAUACACAACAAGAGUAUAAAAACUCCAUUCAAGUUCAUAGCUUAUAAAGAAAAGAAUGAAAUACCUAAGGAACAUUAAUCAAUGUACUGGCUUACCCAAAAAUAAAAACUCACAUUGACUAUGUACAAAACAUAAUAUAUAGCUAAGCUCCAUAAACCAGAAAAGUAUCUGUUAGAGAUUGGAAACAUAUACAGCUAGAUAUUUUGUAUAUUAAUCCAAAAUAGGUAGCACUAUAUCACGAGUCAGUCUAGUGGGGUCAACCACUCAAGUAAGCCCAUAGAAUUCUCAAAAUUCUAAGACACGUACAGUGUAAAUAGCAUACCCAUUUUGAACAAUUGUCAAAAAAAGACAUCUAUCCUGCUGAUUGUUAAGAGAAACAAAACAAACAUGAAAUCCAUUUGCCAUCUGAAAAGGUAACACCAUGUUACACUUGAGUUUUCAAGGAUGUGAACUGAUGAGCGAGAGCAACAGGAGACAGUCAACAUAGAGUGCAUCUAUGUGGGGUGCAUAACUUGUUGGGUGCUUAUUGAGGAAAAAGUUAAAACACAAGAUGGCAUUCCAAGCUCUAUGUUUUUAGAGUGACAACUAGAUAAAACAAAACCAAGGAAAAUGCAAGUCAUCCUUAGUAGAUUUUUUUAUUAUUUUUCUACAAUAAAAUAUUACUCCCUCCAUCCCACAUUAAUUGUCCCCAUAUGAUUUCACACAUCUUAAGAAGGUGAUGUGAAUGUGUAAAAAUUCCAAAUUUGCCUUUAUUGGACCUCAUCCCAUAUAUCUUUUUUCAAAACAAGGGUAGAAUGUAGUAACAUAAAUUAGAAACACAAGGUUUUGGGACAUCCAUUAAAGGCAAGGAGGACAAGUGAUUUGGGACGGAGGGAAUAAUAAACUAAAAAUGGUACAGAAGAAGAGGACUAAUAUACCUCUAAAGAAGAGAAGAAAAAAACAAAUAUUAAUUAAAGCCAAUUAACAUAAGGUGAAGAUGCAAAACAGGAAGUUCAGAGAGAUGUGCACAGAAGCAAAGACUCCCAAAAUAUAAACUCGGGUAAGGAUUUAAUAAUUGACGUAAAGUUUCUAUUGCAAACAAAAAAUACAGGCUGCAGUUCAAAUAAUUUGAUUCAAUACUGAUUUGAACUUUCCAAUUGUUGAAUUUGAAUUUAAGACGUCAUAUAGUUUCAUUUGUUACUGUGCUCAAAAAAAGCAUAUCAAAGGUGAAAACUAUAAUGAGCAUCUAAAUGUAGAGGCAACAAAAUAUGUAAACUGGUCCAUAUGUUAUAUCAACUGGAGCUAUCGUAAAUAUUAACCCAUAAACGGAUGAUAAGAUAUAUAAUUUCUCCCUAUGCAAAAUGCAUAGAGCAUCACUCUAAUUGAAAACAAAAUGUCUUCUAAUGAUAAAUUUUUGGGCUUCACCGCUGAAACGAGUAAUGCCCUUCCUGGUAAUCAUUCAAUAAAACAGUGUUGCAGGCUGAAAGCAUGAACUAAUAUGACAAAUACCUGUUCACCAAUGCUAAUAAACUUCAAGGAUAUCUCUUCAAAGGACAAUAUAUAAUUGAUCUGCAAAUGUCAUUCCCUUGGUUAAGAAGGUUAUUCCUCGGAUAAAUAAACAGCAUUACAAAACUUAAAUCCAGUUUUACGUAUCAAAAACAAAACAAAGAGGAAAAAUAUAAAAAAUGAAAACACUGGAGGAUUAUUUCUCAAGUUUAUAGCUUCGUCUAAUUCUAAAUUUUAGGGAUGAUGUACGAAACAAAUAAUCAUGCAAAAACUUUCCUGCAUUUAACAAAUAAAACUUCCCUCUGGUCAUUAGAAUUUGGAUAAAAAGAUGUGUCACAACUUGUAACUAAAGUUUUUUUUUUUUUUUGCUAAAUUUAACUAAAGUUAUUGGAGACUAAAAGAAUUGGAAAAUAAAGAAGGAAAAAGAUAAAUGACAAAUACAAAGGUGAAAGGAGGUAAUGUCAUGUGCCAACAUGCGGUCAUGAGGACUCUACUUUAGUAUAUAUGAUAGAUACCUUUUUUCUCCCAAAGACCAGCAAAUGGUAACCAAUUCCCAAUCUCUUCAUAAAUAGCAUUGAUCAUAGAAGAUAAAAUGAAUAAACUUACUUAUAAGAAGAAUAGUAGCUAAAUGACAUUACUUACUAGAAAACAGUUAACAAAAUAUACGAAAGCUACUUUGAUGCUAGCCUAAGUGCCUAGCUUAAACAUGUGUUGACAUCGAAAAAGGUAUAAUGGUAAAAUUUGAGGGAAAGAUAUGAUUUCCGCACAACUAAACAAUACGGACUAUGAUAAUGAUGAUUAUCAAAUAAUUUUGUUAACUGAUAAUAUAAAUAGUAAGGACCAAAUGAGUAGCGCUCAAUAAGCAACUAGACUAAUGUAUUGCACAUCACAAACUAAUAUGAUGCAACUCACUUUUGCAUAGAAAGAUGCUGCUCUGACAAAAUCCUUGGCAGAAAAAGCAACUUCAGCCUGCAAUAAUAACACCAGUUACAGAUGAAGCUUAUAGACAAAAAGGGAAAAAAAUGAAGCAAAUACUUAGAAGUGAAAUGUUUAUUUGCAAUUAAGUUAACAAAUCCUGACCUGCUCUAGAUAGACUUGGUCUCUCUGGAAUGGGUCACGACAAUUUGCCAAAGCUGCAGCAUACUCCUUCAAGUCCAGGUACACCUUCCACAUAUCUCGGCCUUCGUCAUUUACAGACACCUGAUUUUAUUCCAAAAUUCAGUAAGUAAAGAAAAUAUAACAAUGCGCACACUUUGUUGAAUUCCAAAAGGACAUCAUAAUUAUAGGCAAAACCUGAAAGAUUGAGUUUUGGUCAUAUGCAUAGAACAAUCCAGCAGAGGCAUCACUGCAUAACCCAAGUAUACCCCUUGAAGCUGAUUCUGAUGUUUGAUCAAAAUUAAGUUCUUCAACAAUUUGCUCGCUAAUACGAUUUACAACCUAUAAGACAUAGCAGAAACAGAAGAAAAAUGGGCCAAGGUCAGUAAGCAUCUAAUACGUAAUAAGAAAAUUGUUCUGCAAGCAUGAUAAGCUCAUACUAUCAAUUGUAGUAAUAUCUCGGUCACAUCACAAAAGGAAUGGGAAUCUAUAAACCUGGUAUUUAUAAUAGUAAUACAUGUAAUUCAUAAUCAUAAAUCAGAUGAUAGAGAAUAGAAUCUCACAGAAACAGCGAGUAUUUAAAGACUCACCUUAACUUUAUUUCCGAUGAGUAACAAGAAGUGAAAUUCAGAUACUGCCAGGGAACUAGGCUUAGCAGCUCCAGCCCCUUCACUUAACUUUGAGUAGUCCAAAAGGGCCUUGUUCUCCACAAAGUUUUCAUCCCCAUUAGGUGAACUACCAAUGAGGUUUCAAAAAGGAUUUGAUCAAAAAAAAUUAUAGAACUACUUGUACUAUUAUCAGAACAUUACAGGACAAAUUUACAAUGUCACCAAUUUAAUACCUAAAAGCAACAACUACAGAUAUUUCAUCAUUUGUCAUAUCAUAAAUAGAACCAACCCAUGAAUUACAUCCUGUACCUAUGCUGUGCACCAAAAUUUAGGCCACCAUAGUAGAUACCUGCUCCAGAAAGCCAUGCGAAAUGUAUAGAUCGUCUCUGCUUGAUAAAGAAAUGCAAUUCACUGCGAGAAACGAAUAACGAAAUCAGUUUAAAUUUGAGACAUAAUUUCUAAUAAUUAAUUUGAAUUUUAAUAAAUGAUUACAGAGCCCAGUAUUUUGGUUGUUAUUUUAUAGUAGAAUCUGCUACUAAAUAAGACUUGCUUUUUAAGAUGAAAAAUAAGAAACUGAACUGAUAUAACCAUGCUCACUGUUCUGUUUCAAAGAACUGAUUUCAAGCCUUGAGGUAUAUUCACAUGAAUCAAUCAGCAUUCAACUAAAAUGAGAUUGAACAAACAUACAAUUAAAAGGGUGGGGGAAGGUAGGUAGAAAGCUCUAUAAGAUGUGACUAAUACACAGAAUUAAUUCAAGUCAAAUGGAAAGCCUACAAACAAUUAAAGUAUUAAACAUCAUCCAACACAUGCAAUCAAACUUUUCUGGGUUUUUUCUUUUUUUUACCUUUGCCAGUUUAAUUGAUGGGGAAAAUUCAUUUGGAUUAGUUAGAUUUUACCAGCAAGAUGCUCAUUGGGGUUCCAACAGAGGCCAGUAAUCAAACAUAAAAUUCUUUACAAAAACAAAAGGUAUAGCUUUGAUCAGCCAAGUUUCUCCACAGAAUGUCUACCUUUAUAGAUCAAAUUGCAAACGAUCAAUGCUCAAAUGAGUUUUAGCAUAGUCAUANNNNNNNNNNNNNNNNNNNNNNNNNNNNNNNNNNNNNNNNNNNNNNNNNNNNNNNNNNNNNNNNNNNNNNNNNNNNNNNNNNNNNNNNNNNNNNNNNNNNGGAACAUCCAAAAAGGAUUAACAGACUACCAAACAAGACCCCGGAGGUAUUAUAACAGAAUACAAUCAAACUAACGUAUUUUUAGAUUCAUGCCAUUCCUUAAUCUCAAUUCUAGAUCCAUUGCAGGAGGGAAAGAUUUUAAUUUCUAAGCAUGAUGUGUUAACUUCUGUGCUGAUGUGCAACAAACAAAAUGAAAGUGUGAGGCAGCAGACACCAGAUAAUUUAAGUAAGAGAGGAAUGUGAUGUGGGGACCAAGUUAGGAUAGAAAGAUCCCUAUCAACUUUAAGCUUCAGAAUUGAAUGAGUGCUUAAUAACCCCAUUGGGGAGACUUUUUAAAUAGAUAAGAAAAUUUUGAUCAUAAUAGAGAUAGGGUAGAGAGAGAGAAAGAGAGAGAAUAUGCUCCAAAACUAUAAAAAUGAAAAUUUACAAAAGCCUUAGAAACAGGCAGUGCUCAGGUCCCCCUCUAUAACUAUUAAAAUGAAAAUUAAUCCUACCACAAGCACCCAUCGCUGAAGACCAAAAAGAAACCAAGUAUAUGACCCUGUCCCAUAGCAAAAGACAUGCACUGGUCACAAAAAAGCCAAUCAUCCCUCUCUGACCAAAUGCCUCAAAAAAUAGCAAAACAACCACACUGCUAAAGCACCCCACUGGGAAGACUUAACAACUUGUUAAUAUUAAUUAUCUUUUUUUCUCGAUUAGAUAUAAACAAGCACCUUAUCGGUACAAAAAUAUAAAGAGAAGUAACAAAAAUCCGUGCAAAGACUCCUCAAUCCAAUAAUACAAAAGGAGCGAGGGAAAAAAAACCUACAAUAAGGGGGAAAGAAAAUCCUACAGUAAGGGAAAAAUACAAACUCACAUAACUAGUAAGAAUCGAACCCGAACCUAAUGGUUUAACCAUCAGGUUUUAUCAUCCUAGCUCUUGUAUACUUCAUGCAUAUUUUAUCUCGCCCCAGUUUUUCCAAAUUAUAUGGAGCCUUAUUUAUCAGAAUAGGAAACAUAAAAAUUAAUUCCGUGUAAAUUGGUAAACAUAUAUGGAAAUUUAGUUCUGCAAAGACUUGAAUCUAUACAUUCAGUGACUACCACUUGCACUACGUAGUCCAAAGACCUAAAAAAAUUGACACACUAAUACAAGUAUAUUAUAUGGUAAAAGAAAGUCAAGUUCAUACACUUGUUACUUUCAUGGUCAAGUUCAAGUUAACAAUCUGGAAUGAGUUUCAGGUACAGAAUUGUGACCAGCUGAUAUAUGAGCAUAUAUAUCAAAUUUUCAAAUUCAAGCAUUUAAUAAGUUCAGAAGGCGCAUGUAAAUGUUAAUUUGCAUAAGAGUCGACAAAUUAAGUAAACAGUGACAUAAAAACAAGAGCUGGAUAGGGACUUACAUCCAGCAACCCAAUUCCAGUGAAAGAAUAGAGUCGUGUAGGAGUAACAGCCAUUACAUAGUAUCUAGUUCCAUUGCUUAUGCUAGCUGUUUCCAUCUGCAGAUACAGAAAUUUAAGGGGAAAACUUUAAGUUCCUAAUCCAGUUCUAAAAAAAAUCCUAUUAAAAUCAUAUUAACAGAUGUAGAAUUGUCAUACAGAAGUCCAAUGACCCAUAUUCAGAACAAUUCGAUGCAUAAAGCACAACUAACAAUGUUUACCCAAGUUAGUAGAGAGAAGAAAUGCUUACAUGUUCGUAAGGAAGGGGAAGGUAAGUACCUGUAGAUCUGUAAAAGCUUCUGGUAGUUCUUUAAGUUCAAAAAGAAACUUUAUAUACUUCUCCCUCUUGUCCUUUUCGUCUACAGCAAUUUCAUGCAAUUGGCCGUUGUCUGUACCAAGAAUCACCUCCCUUGUAGAAGCUGGAAACACAUUGCAUACAAGUAAAAAGAAUAAAUCCACAAGGGGGAAAUUCAGUGGCAACUAAAUUAAUCACAGAUAACCAUGUAUUUUACCUUCUGUUAUUUGUUGCCUAUUCCAGGCAACUGCAUUUACUACAAGACCUUUCAGUUUGUUUAAAACUCGGGGCUUGGUCCAUUUCGCAUGUGUAUAGAAUGUAUCAGCACCACCACUACCCACGACAGUUGUAAUACAAUGGCUCCCACCAGGAUCAACAAAAACUCUAUGGAUAGAUUGUUCCCCAGGACGACCCGCACCCGCAGAGAGAUCAAUAUCUAUAAUAUGAAUGAUCAAGAUAAUAAAGUGUUCCUACAUCUCCAGAAGACUCGACAAGUAAGUAAAUAGAACGAAUUGCCUAUUAAUUUUAUAUGCUUCAGCUGGAAGACUUGAAUCACUGUUGAGAUCAAUCCAACCACAAGCUUCUCUAAGCCAGUUUGGCAAUAUAGUUCCGCUCAGUGACUCAACUUGACAACCUCCACUCAGAAAAUAUAACCAAGAUUUUUAUCAAACUUCACAUUACCAUAUACCAAGCUCAACUAAUAGAGUCAAUAGCCUCAGUAAAAAAGCUAGCUUGUCCGGGCUCAUAACCAGAAUACCAGAUUCAGUAAGCCAAUUUCAAGUAGCAUUAUUCAUUCUACACUACAAAUUUAAACAUGGAGUACAAAUUUCUAGAGAACGGAAUAAAGUAAUUUUUAGUUGUUCACACUUUACACACACUACGACCCAAGAAGAAAUUUUAGGGACUAUGUAUAUAGAAAGUGUUGAAGAAUGUAGCCAAUUACAUCAUCUGGUCCUUAGGUAAAAUGCAAAGUCGACCACUGAAUUUUAGGAGUUUUUGGGUAUUAAGCCCUUUUCUUUUAGUCAACGCAAAUUGAGUCCCGUUUUGUUAAAAAAUUUGGACUUUGAGCCCCAGGGGCCACAUGUGCGUUGACUGCCUACGUGGCUGCUAUGACGUGGAUAUUUUUAAUUUUAUUUUACACAUGGCAGCUAUGACGUGGACAUUUUUGAAAUUUUUCCAUAAACAUGUAGCUGCAAAGAUUUGAACUUGGAACCUCAAGCUUGGAAAUUUGGCCCAAUAACCAACUGAGCUACACAACCAAGUUGUUAUGAUUUUGCAAGGAUUAAUAUUUAUAACUAAACAAUUAGAUCCCCAAAUUAAAUAAAACAGAUCUCCCCAAAUUAUUAUUAUUACUACUACUACUACUACUACUACUAUUGUUAUUGUUAUUGGUGUUGGUGUUGGUGUUGGUGUUGGUGUUGGUAUUGGUAUUGGUAUUAUUGUUAUUAUUGUUAUUGUUAUUGCUAUUGUUAUUAUUAUUGUUAUUAUUAUUAUUAUUAAUAUUAUUAUUAUUGUUAUUAUUAUUAGUACUACUACUACUACUACUACUACUACUAUUAUUAUUAUUAUUAUUACUAUUAUUAUUAUUAUUAGUGCUAUUAUUAUUAUUAGUAUUAGUAUUAUUGUUAUUAUUAUUAUUAGUACUACUAUUAAUCCUUGCAAAAUCAUAACAGGUAGGCCAUGUAGCUCAGUUGGUCAUUGGGCCAAUUUUCCAAACUUGGGAUUCUGGGUUCAAAUCUGUGUAGCUACAUUUUUUUUGGGAAAAAUUCAAAAAUUGGCCACAUCAGAUUAUCUGUGUAAAAUAAAAUUAAAAAUGUCCACGUCAUAUCUGCCAUGUAGGCGCCACGUAGGCAAUCAACGCACAUGUGGCGCCUGGGGCUCAAAGUCCAAAUUUUUUAAUAAAAAGGGGCUCAAUUUGCGUUGACCAAAAGAAAAGGGCUCAAUACCCAAAAACCCCUAAAGUUCAGUGGUCGACUUUGCAUUUUACCCUCUGGUCCUUAAUGGUAACUCUCAAAAACAGUUAAGUCACAUAGAAUGGACAUGAUCAUGGCCAUUACUCACUGGUCAGAAAUGGCGAAACUGAUAUAUAUAUAUAUAUAUAUAUAUAUAUAUAUAUAUAUAUUCUAGUGGAAAAGCUAAUUUCACGGAAACACUGGGUCCACAAGUGAAAUACGGAAUUCAAUUUGCCACUAAAAGAAGACAUCCCCAUUUUAAACUAUUAAUGCCAUUGAUAUAGUAGCGUAAAGAGUUCUGAUGACAAAUAUUAUCCCUAUAGUAAAUUUCCAGAGAAUAUAUUGUUCCACCAUUUCCACCCAAGAUGAUAUUUAAUUUCAUUUCUAAAAUAUUAAUUUGACUUAUGUAUAACAGUAUAACACAAUGCCAUCAGACUUUAAAUGUAAUAAAUCAUACACCCAAUAAGCAACAUGCUUUGGCUACAAAGCACACAUUUUCAUAUCAGAUCUCUAUAUAAGUAAAAUAAUUGCCAGAUUGCGAGAUACAUACAUACACAAAAUAUUCAAAAAAGUAAAUUUAAAAAAUGACUAUGCUCCAAAAGUAAACUACAACAAAAGGUCAAAACUCUUCACAAAAAUGAACUAUGCAAUUAUAGCUUCACCUCAACUCCAAAUACUGAAAUAGAACCAAUAACUCAAAUUGAACUCCCCGUCUACAUAAAGGCAAUUGGAAUUUGGAAGAACCUUAUAGGAUCUCCAAAUCAUAAUAGCUCAAAUAGGUGUAUAUCCAAAACUCAGUUAAUCAUACAACAUCUCCAUAAUAUGAUGUGUGCGCGCGCACACAAACAAUGCAUGUGCAUUCAUAUAUUACCUGAACACAAAACGUUUCAAUUCAUGGAACAGAUUCAAUAACCUGAUAUGCUCAAUAGGCUAAAGCGUGAUAAGUUUCAGAGAUAAUUUUUAGUUACAUCAACAAUGUGAUGUUUGAGCAUCUAAUACUAAUUAAGAUAUUUAUAUAUGUGCAAUUAGAGGUAGAAAUUAAAAACAUAAAAAAUAAAUAAAUAAAUAGAAAAGAAAUUGGGUUGCCAAAAUUAGAGUUCCACAUUGUAAGUAUCAUGUAAGUAAACCAAAGUACCAAAAUCAUGUUAGGCCAAUAAAAUAAGAGUAUGUGGUGACUCCGGUGCAUGAUUUAGUCAUAUAGGAAAAUUAAUGGGGAUUAAUGGUUCAAAAUUACAUACCAGAAGACUGUCCAACUCCAAAAUCAUGUCUGAUGACCCAACCUUUACUAGUUCCCAGAACAAUGACAUCAUUUCCAGCAGCCAUACAUGUAAUAACUCCAUGUCCCUUUGCUGCAUAUCUCUCAAGAAGAUCUAUAGAAAACACUUGUCUUCCAGCCUCCAUAUUCUGAAUCAAAUUCUCAAACCUAACAAUUAAUUACAGAAUAUUUCAUGCAAUUUUUGCAUAAGUGAGAAACAAAAACCUGAACUGAAAUAAUUAAAUUAAAACACAUAGAUUAUCUAUAUUCAUAAAUUAUGCGGAAAUUAUAUAAUCUGAAAAGCUUUAGCAAAAAAAUCCAAUUGAGAUACCUCAAACUCUGAUGACAAAAGAUUAGUUUUAAGAACUAUCAUCAGUUUUCUCAGUGUCCAAACAGUGAUUAAGUGACGAAUAAUUAGGUUUAGGUAGGGAACACAUACCUGAUCGGAGAAUUGAUCGCCGGAGACAACUCGCUGAGUCAGUCCUCCCUUGAAUAACUGUUUGUCUUACUGUCGUUUACCAUUUUGUAUUUUGUCGUUUCAAUUUAAUGGAUUUAAGUUUUGUUUUGGGUUAUCCUUCUCUAACUUGAAGUGGCAUGGAAGACCUAGGGAUUUCACGACGGGGCUUGGCUGUAGUCUGAUUGGACGACUCUAGCACAAUGACUUGGAUACUAAAUCAAUUAAAUAUUGAAUAUUUUUAAUUCGAAUAUUUGUGUUUUUGUAUAUGUAUCUAAAUUAUAUUUAAAAUAUUAUAUUUUUAAAAAAUUUCGAUCAAAAUAAAUAAUAUAUAUUUUUCGAAAGUCACAAAUAAAAAUAUAUAUAUAUUCAGUAAACAUGUCCACAUGUGGCUAGUCAGUUUAGAUCAAGUUAAAAAGAAAUAAAAUCGCGAGUCAAAAUUGUUACAAAAUAAAUUACACUUAUUUUCUUUUGUUUAUGUGAUCAAAUGUUACUUUCUUUACUCUUCCUGAGAAAAGAAAAAGAAAGGAAAGAGUUAAACUUUAACCCUGACUAAUUAUGAAUUUUGUUGAUCUUGUGUAAUAAAUAAAAGAUAUUGCCAUUAGAUUAUUGUGUUUGGUCUUUAUACGAGAUUAUAGGUUUUUCUCAAUUGAUACCAAAAAUGAAUUUCUGUUAUAGUAAUACUCGUGAGUAAAGUCCUCUUGAAAAAAAAAUAUACCUUUUUUUUUCUAAACAUUCUACGUGUUCAUUCAAUAAUUUUGUACUCGUAAGUUCUGCAUUUACACCCAUAAACUUGACUUGACCCAAUUUUGUUUCUUGGUUUCUCCCAAUAUUAACUAUUUUCUUUCACUACAAAAAAAAAAUUAUUUCUAACGAAAUUAUUUUCAUACACAUUACAAUAGUCAAUACCAAUAAUAUUAUUCCUCUAUAAAUUUUCUCUCUUCUUUGUUACUUUUUACUCGCUUGCAAAAAUCCUUCUAAAAAGGCCAGUAAAAGAAACUACGUCCUUGAAAUCCAAUAGUUUGGCAAGAAAAAAAUCUCCUACCUAAAUUUAUAUCAGUUCAAGAUAUCUUAUUUUAAUCGAAUUUUUUUUUAAAAUUAUUUUUGUUUACUUAAAUGUACUUGGAGUAUACUAAUAUAAGAUUUUAAACAUUAGGAUCAUAAAUAUAAAAGGGAUGAUACUUGGAAAAACAAAAAUAUAUUUAGCUCUAUAAUUAAAUCUAUUGUUCUUACUAGCCAUAUUCCAAUUAUGAACCUACUAUUCAUCUUUUUCAAUAUUGUGUUAAACAUGUUAGUUCAUUAACGUAUGCAUACAUACCUUAUAGGUUUGAAUAUUUUUUUACCAUGGAUAAAACUAUUUGUCACAAAUUAUUAAUUAGUAAUUGAGAGAAUUAAAAUAUUUUAUUUUCUUAGUUAGAAAUGGUAUAAAGUUUGAAUGAAUUUGGGAUUCUGACUAUUCAUAAAAAUAAAAAUAAAAAAACUCAAAAAUUAGUCAGUCUUCAUUUAAAUUUUUAGAAAAUAUUUGAUAGUUUUAAUGCAUGAUUCUCAAGAAUUAAAUUGACCAAAAAUUAUAGUUUAAAUUAAAUCGGAGCGUCUGUAAGAGCCGUUUAUAAUCCAACGACAGUGAUGGAGCGGGUACUCAAACGUCUGAUUUUCUCCAACGGUAAAAAAAAAACUCAAAAUACAGAAAUUUUGCCCUCAUUUAGACCUCGCCAAAUUUGUUUCUCUGAUCACGCUCAAGAACCAACCUUACACGAAUCCAAGUAAAGACCAUUAAUCCUUUUUUUCCUCAUACUUUGCAUACUCUCUUUACAAGAGAAUGAGUGUUAUUCAAUACCCAGAAGCCAUGAACGCAUCAGAUCUACAAAUAUGGAACAACGCCGCAUUUGACAAUGGUGAAUCCGAAGAUCCAUUGAUAACCAAAGCUUCUUGGUGCCCAAUUAAACCCAUAAUCGUAAAUCGAUCCGGUUCUUUUGAAUCUGCUUCAACUAAAGAAAAUCAGAGUCCCGUGCUUAUCAAAUCUCCCAUUUCUGUAAAGUCCCCCGCACAGAUUAAGCCACUUCACCCAAAUGGCGCGAUCCAAAACUCGACAAUGAAGCCAAUCAAGCCUCUUCCCAAACAGGGUCUUGUUGAGAAGCCGGUUUCAAAGAGUGGUAGUGAAGAACUAGUUCGCGAUGAAAAGAAAAUCGAUUCGGAGAUAGAGGAGAUUGAGAAGGAAAUUAGCCGGUUGUCAUCGCGAUUACAAGUUCUUAAACUGGAAAAGGCUGAGCAGAAUGUGAAAUUGGGUGAAAGGCGUGGAAGGGUAAUUCCGGCUAAGUUCAUGGAACAGAAACAGAAUGAGAAUGUUAAGAAUUCAGAGGAAUUGAAAAGGAGUGAAGAAAAUUUGCUGUGGAGUGCUAAAGCAGAGGUCCAGAGAAGGGGUGUUAGUAUGGGUCCAGGGGAGAUUAUUGUCGGAGGGCGUAGGGGUAUGAGUAUGGGGCCAUCGGAGAUUAUUGCCGGAGCUAAACCGCGGCAAUUAGGUAAGCUAGAGAUCACCCCUGUUCAACCGAUACAGAGUAGGCGAAAAUCAUGCUUUUGGAAGCUGCAAGACAUUGAUGAAGAGAAAGUGAUUAAAGAAAGGGGUAAGAGUUUGAGUCUUAGUCCUAAAUCAAGAAAAGCCCUUUGUAAAACUCAAGGUCCAAGACAAGCUGCAACUAUAGUUGGAUUAAGAAAGGCUGUGAAGAAAGAAGACGUGGUUCUUUCAUCAAUUCAGCCGAAGAAGCUUUUUAGAGAUGGGGAAAAGUCGGUUGCUGCUAAGAAAUCACAGAAACCUGGUAGAGUCAUUGCGAGCCGGUAUAAUCAGAGUACAAUUCAGUCUGCUCUGAGAAAGAGGUCUUUGCCAGAAAAUGAUAAGGAUGAGAAUAAGAGGUGUGAUAAAAAGCGGGUUUCAUCUGAAACGAUUCGAAAUCAAGGUACUGAAAGCCGGGUGAAGAAGAAAUGGGAAGUUCCAAGUGAGAUUGUGGUUUGUGGGAAUUUGGAGACUGAGAAAUCCCAACCAUCCAUUUCUGUAGUGCCUGAUAUGCUUCCGAGGAUUAGAACUGCCCGGUACGCCAUUGAAACACCCCGGGACUCUGGACCUGCAAAGAGAGUGGCUGAAUUGAUAAGAAAGAAAUCAUACUUUUGCAAUGAUGGAGAUGUGGAACCAUCAGUUUGUCAAGCACUCAGUUUUGCAGAAGAAGAUUUUGAAGAGGAACAAAAUGGAAAUUGAGGGUGUUCGCUUUUCUUAGUUCCUGGUAUGAAAUUCAGGUCAGUGAUGAGUGAGACUUGAUCUUCUUUAAUGGGAUAAGCAUUCUUUUGCUUCCUCCAAGUGAUAUAGUUGUUUUUUUCCCGCUUCAUGUUAUUAAUUACUUUGAUUUGAGUGAUAAUGAAACAAAGCUUGCUUUUGCUUCCUCUAAAUAGGUUGGUUGUAAAAUUUUGUUGCAUUCUGUCUUCAGUGUCUCAUAAUGGAAUGAACUUUUCUCUUGCUUUCUAAUGAUUCCUGAAAGUGAGAAUCUUUAUUUAUUUUUCCUUAUGAAAAACUUGCAACUUUGAGUUGAAAUUUGGAAAUUCAAUCUGAUUUGGUGAAAAUGGGACCAUCUUAUGGAUGUGACAAACUUUUUAAAGAGAAUGAACACCGACUUAAAAGAAUCCUUUUUGGUGCACCGGGUUACCAUGCUAGCUUAUAGAUUUAUGCUCUCAUCAGUAUAUAUUCUAUCCUAACUGGUAUUUUCUAGUAUUUGAACCUGAUUCCCAAACGAAAUUCCUAGCAUUUAUUUGUAUGAUUUGUCAACAAUCUUUGAUACAUUGAAAAACUGAUUAAUUCACACUUAUCAGCCAAGUAUCAUUGGUCAAUGAAAUUUAGAACUACAACAUUAGUACUUGUAUGGAAGUUUUGGGACUAGACACUACUUCAACAGUUGGAUUUGCCUUAUAAAGUGAUUCUUGGUAUCCAGUGAAUGAGUGAUUCAAUUCACAUAUACAUCUCUAGUCAAAAUACUUUGUGCACACAUAAAACAUUCUACAUGAUAAACUGAUCCUGCCAACUCAAACAAUGACUAUUCAUUCAUAUAUGAAGUUUACAAUAAAUAAAACAAAUAUCAGUAAUCUGAGCUUCCUCUUAUGAAUGCUGUGCUUGACACAUAAAAGGUUGAAUUGAAAUGGUAGUUACAAAAAUGUCACAAAUUUUGAACUAUUGACUCAAAAUUUGCAGAUAACAUUCUUCUUGUAGAACAUUGAAAUAAGCUUGUAAAGCCUAAAUGACAAUUUAGAACAAACAACACUUGAGUAACAGUGACAAAAUUUAGAGUAUGCAUCCCCAGUUUCAGAUUCGACUGGAGUCCCGUCCAAAAAUGAAUCUCCUUCCCCAGUCAGAUAUGACCAACACCCUUGUGCGCCAGCUGACUAGCUUGCUGAAAUUUUGGAGAAACCAAACAUUUAUAUUAAUAAUACAGCAUAAACAUGUCAAAAGUACAAAUUUACACAACCAGGCACAUUCUAAGCCAUGCAGACUAGUAGUACCUGGCAUAGACUGAAUACCAGAGCCACUGGGUGCUAUGACCAAUCGAUACCCAAUCUCCGGGAAGUUGAGCUGCAGUUUGUUCUCCACCCAAUGGAGCAAAUUGGCCAAAAUGCUUGUACCUAAGUAACAUAAACCAACAAAAGUUAAGCCAUGGACAAGAAAAUUCUAGCCACUGAAUACCCCUUUGGUUGGCUAUUUUGCUCUUCUUUUUUAUUCAAUGUUACUGGAUAAUGUAAUAUGUAAUUUAUGUGUAUUGAAAGUACUUACCUUUCAUAAGCUACAAGCUGUAGCGAUUAGGGUUUCAAUUAUUCAUGCCUGAACUAGUGAAGUGUUCAUACCUAAAUGGAUGAAACCUAUGACGCCCGGAUCCCCUGAACCUCAUUGGACCUUCAGGAUCCCUUUCACACUGCUCCAUGCGAUUGAAACAAUUGGCAAGGUACUCACCUUGUUGAGCAGCUACCUAAAGUAGGAGUAUAUCAUAACACUGAAAAGGAAGAUAUGAGGAAGCAGUAGAAAACAGUACCAGAAAUGAGUUGCUUUAAAUUUACCUGUGCUGUGGCAGGAAGAUUUUUCAUCUGUGAAUCCACUUAGAAAGAGCUGAUUUGAAUUUUUCGAUAUCCAACUCUUUAUCAGCCUCAGAAUUCUUCAACAAUUGAACAAAACUUUUAAACUGCUUCCUCUUCAUGUACAGCUCCACUUGUGGAUACCUUUCUGUGAUAUCAUCAAUGACUUCCGUAAAAUCUUCAACGUUCAGGGUACCAGAUUUAUUCUUGUCUGCCUUGUUAAAUAUUGCAGCAAUAUCCUCCUGAAAACAAAUAAAAAUCAGUCAUCUGUUGACAGGCUCUUAAAAAAGGGUCAGAGCAUAAAUAUCUGUUUAACAUACAAAAUUAAAAUUUUAAAAUAAAUAUACUAUAAACAAUCCCUUCCCUUAAUGAUCUGAAUUUUGUUUGUCAAAAAACCAAGAAAAUCACUGCAAAAGAUUUGAAAAACUUAUGAUGAAGAUCUGAAAUGAAAAUACAAGAGUUACAUAAGGCUCGCUAACCCUUGAAUGUGUGAUAAAUUUAACAAAUGCUCUGUAUGGAAGCUCAUUCCACGGAAACUUGCAGAGAGACAUACCAUGAUUCUACGUUGAUUUAUUGUGGCACAAUCACCUAAAGCAUAUAUGCUAUUGGUUCCUUCAACUCGCAGCCACUUAUCAGUUGCUAAAACUCGCCUAUUAGCCUAUCUCCAGGGAAUAGAAGUUUACACUUGUUAUUGGUGGCUUGCAGAAGUUUACAUUUGGGAAGCAAAAGCUAUUUCAGAACAAAGAGUUAUGCCUAACGGCGACUUGAAAAAAAGUGAGAGCCAAUGAUCAGAGAAGGCUAGAGGUUAACAAACCUGACUAAUUUGCUUCAUAAAAUCCGUAACUACUGGACGAGUUCCUAUACCAGUUGACCAGACAACCAUUCCAUAUGGUAUAGAGACGUUUUUUCCUGUGGCUCUUUCUUUAGUAGAUAUUUCCUUGUCAGUUACUUUUACAACCAUUGAUCCAGUUUUUAGCUGAAUUCCGUCUCUGGAAUUUUUCUUCGGCAAAAACAGUAAUUCUUUUGUCAAACCUGCAAAAAAAAAAGAAAAACAAAAACAAAUGCAAAAGCAAGACAACAAGUGAACUAAAGAAUAUCUUAAGUAGAAAAGAAGUCACCAAAAGGUACAAAACUGCAUCUUAAAAAAGGCAAUUAUAAUAAUGCAAUGGUAGAACUCCAUGAAAUAUUCUUUUCCAUAUUGAAUUCCAGUUUCAACCUUGUACUCUCUAGAUCCGAAUUACCUAAAAAGACCGUUGAGUACGCUUUUAUGUGUAAUCUAGAGAUGGUUUUAUACUUUAAAAAUAAAUAAAUAAAGCUACUAUUUGGAAAAGACUUUUAAGAACGUGUUUUCCAUUUUCAAAGUGGUAAGCACACUGUAGACUGUAGUUAAUAUGUAUCCUGAAAAAGAGGAUAAGAAACAAAACUGUAACCGAGUGCUUUUGAUUUCCUGCAUUCUAUUAAUUCUUAACCAUAAAACUGAAGGAUCGUGUAAAGGAAAAGAGUCAAUUCAUUGUCAAGUGUACUAGUAACUAAUUCAUCUAUCACCCUAGAAUGGAAUUCUUUGCAGUCAUUGCUUCUCAAGAAGAUAACUUACUCUAUAUUCUGAGUGACCCAAAUCAUCACAUAACAAAAAAAUAAAUAAAUACUUUCUCUUGCUUGCAAUCUGAGAUUUUUAAGGCUAUGUACUAGCAUAAUAGAAGUACAAGCAUACUCAGUACGUGACACAUUGCUUACAAAAACUUGCUGAUGCAUAUACAACCAUUUGUCAUCUUGUAAACUGUGAAAUAAAGUAGGUUUCUAUUUUGUUUCAAUAUGAUUCAUUAUUUUAACUUAUGUACCAGUAAAGAUUUGCAGAGGAAGAAAGAUAACAAUUAAAUGAAAAGAAAGGAUAAAAUAAUAGAUUGAUCUCAAAGUACCAAGGCUUAAUUACGUACACGCUCAAUAUAUGAUCGGCUGCCUCAAGAAGAGUUAUCUUCACAUGCUCUUUAAGAGUAGGAUAUAGUUUGCCUAAAUCUUCAAGCACAAAGUCAUGAAGCUCUGCUGCGAAUUCCACACCUGUUGGACCACCGCCAACGAUUACAAAAUGCAGAAUUUUUUUCCUGUCCUCAUCACUUACACACGGAAGGCUAGCCCUUUCGAAACAGUCAAUUACAGUCCUACGGAUCCUCUGAGCAUCUUCUACUUCCUGCAGCAUGCACACAGAUCGAUCUCGAUCCUUCAGAAACCGACCGACCCAUGACUUUUAAGGAGGAGGAUUUAUAUUCCAAAAUGUACCUUUAAUAUUAAUAUAUACAAACAUUGUAGCCGGCGCUCUUUUACUAAUUAAUUACCUUCAAGAAGUGGCAAUUCUCAACAACUCUAGGAGUGUUGAAUGUAUUUGAACGGGCACCCAUGGCUAUCACCAAGUAAUCGUAGUCUACAGUAAAUUCCUCUCUCCCACCCAAGUUAGUAUCUUGACUUGAUCGACAGAAGACUUUCUUUUUAUCUGUGUCAAUCUUGAAGCAUUCUGCUACCCUUAAUUCAACAUCUAAACCGUUCUGGCGCCGCCAUAAUUAUAUACCAAAAAAAAAAAACAUAACAUAAUCUUAACUAAAUAGUAUCUCCACUUCACAUGGUGGUCAUGCAUGAUCGAUAUGAACAAAUAAUAAUCAGCUGGGGAAUUAAAUUUAAAAGUGUGACGAGCUAGCUUGAUAUGAAAUUAAUUAAGCUGACCUUCUUAACAAUAUUGCGAAUUGGUUCGACGAUGCUUCGUGCUUCCACAGUGCCACAUGUAACACUUGGUAAAAGAGGAGUAAAUGCAAAAUAAUUACGAGGCGAUACAACUUGAACUUCAUAAGAGGGAUCUUUUAAAGUUUUCAAAAAGCUGGUGCCUGCCCAACCGGUUCCAAGUACUACCACCCUCUUUUUCUUGAAAUCACCAGGUGUAACAGCAGCAGCAUCAGCAUAUGCAUAUGCACUUCGGAAUGGUCUGCCAUCAGAAUAAGCCACUAUCCCCCCUCCACUACAUGCAUGCAACCAAAUAAUAUUAAUUAAUUAUGAGAAAUCAAAGAGUUUUGUAUCUUUUUUAGAUUUAUAAGAUCUAAAUUACUUCAUCCCUUCAACUAUAAAACCAUGACUUUUAAGAAUAAAUUUAUAUUCUCAAAUUUAACCUUAGUAUUUGUUAAGAAUUUAACUGUGGUUGUUUAAAAUUAAAAAAGAUAAUGACAAAUUAGGAAAAUCAUUAGAAAUAUAUCUACAACAGACUAAAAAAAUGUAUCUCUAUAUAAUUUUAAUUUUGGAACGUAUAUAUUUUAUUUAUUAAGCUAGCUUUUGAGGACAAGAGUAUCUCCAACAUAAGAAAAUUAAUCCAAAUAAGUAUUCAAAUUAUUUAAGUACUUACAAACUAUCAUAUGAUCAUUUCAAUAAUCAGAAUAACCCAAGUAAACAAAUUCUUAAUUAAAUGAAGUACUUAGUUACAAAUUUAUUAAGCAAUAUAUAUUCAAAAACUCUAUGCAUGAGUGAUUUAUAAUUUUAUUUAUUUAUAAGACCUCAAUAUUAAUAUAAAUAAUUGAAAUUAUAAAAUACUUAUGCAUAAUUUUCACGUCCGAAUAGAGAAUAUGAAUAUAUUAGUUCAUGCAUAGCAAAAUAAAAACGUCAAACACUUUGACAAUUUACUAUAUAUAAAAUCCAACUUUAUAAAUUACUUGCAAGUAAAAAGUGGAUCCUAAAUGAAACUAGGAUAAACUAAGAAACCCCGAUCAAAUUAAAGAACCCAAAUCCACAUAUUUCUGACAUUAGUACUCUAAAAUAUUUUUGUAGAAACAGAUCAAUAUCCCAGGAAAAAAAAAAAGCAUUAAAAAAAAUAAAAAAAUUGAACACACACCAACCAAAAAAGACAAAAUAAAAAAAGAGGAAGACAACAUGAAGUUUAAGACCUGACAGUAAAGAGAACCAGAAUCUUGGAGAGAGAAGGGUUGUCAUGAAAAGCUCUGGAGGCUCUCCGAUAAAAGGUAUACCCACUCAUUUGGAUCGUAAGGACCCUUACUUAAUUCAGGCAGGCAGGCAGGUAGAUAGGUUUCUACUUUUCUUUUAUUUAUUAAAUUAUUUUCUUAGCGUUGGAUCAAUAUAAUAAAUAUUGUUGAGAGUUUGCAUUUGCAUAUAUAUAUAUAUAGAGAGAGAGAUGGAGAGCUGCGGAGUAACUGUCAUUUCUGACCAUGCAUUUCGUCUGGUCAAAUUUAUAAAAUUUGACGUGGGUUAUCAGCGACAAAGCUCUCCGAGAACUUAGCUUAGCAGUGUAAUUUGUGGUGGGUCAAGGAGGUGUGGUCACUCUGGGCCUCCUUCUGGUAAGAUCCUAUUAUAACGCUUACCUUUGUAUUAAUAUGCGUCCAUUCGGUGAUGUGUUUCAAACCUGUAUGUAAUAUGUCAUUCCUUUCUUUUGGGUUUAAACAAAACCAUUUGUAGCUACGUAGUAAGUUAACUAAUAAUUAUAGUCCUUGGUGAGUUAAAACAUCAAGGAAAGGAAUCAACAAAACCAGUAAUUUCUCACUUCAAAAUAUUUAUUACAUACAAAAUACAGAUACUUUAUACUCAAAUCCAUUUCCUUUACUAUUAUUUGGAGCAGUUUUUUUAGUAAUAUUGACAUUAAAACAUGAAGGAUACAAUUACAUCUAAGUAGUUCGAGCUAGGUUAGCUGGAACUUCAGUCGUGCAUUAAACGUAGUCACAUGCCCAUAGUAGUGUAUUGGGUAAAGCUAGAGCUUCAGGAGGGCGCAAAAGUUGGAAGGGCAGGCUGAUUGUCUUCCAUCCCAAACCCUCAGCAACUACUGCAUCAAAAUUCUGGCUCACCCAACUUCCAUCCAGCUGGAAUUUUUGCAGGUCCAGAUCUAUCCCCUUGUAAUAUCACACCCUGAAAAGAGUGCAUAAAAAUGAUCAAAAUUCCCUUGUUGGAUCUUACAAGCUGACUAAAGCAUAGCCCCUCAGGAUCCAGGACUUCAGCAAAUCAAAUCAAACCAACCUUCUCCCCCAAACAUUUACAUAUUCACAAGCCUAUUACCAUUUUCCCAAACGCACUACAUGUAAAGAUUUUCAAAUGGUGGACACUUCCUGGGUAACAUGUUGCUCAGUAUGCUUCAUUAACAAAACAUACCUUUUACCUCACAGAACAUUUAAGAAAAUGAUUCUAACAAAUAGCAAUUUUAAAUGUAGAAAGGAAAAUUAUUGGGCUAACAGCCUUAAGAAUGUUUUGCUGUUAUUUAACUCCAGUCUCAUGGGAUUUAAAGAGAAUAAGCUGAUGACAACACAAACUUUGAGUUUUUCAGACUCCAUACCCACCUUUCAAUUUAAAAGGGAAAAGAGUAUAGUUAAAACUCAGGAUUGUAGGCAGAUGGAUAGUUAUUACAACACCAAAAAUCAAUGAAUCUUUGACAUUACUUUUCAGAUUUCAAAAAAGAAGAAUUGUUAGAAAGAAAGGAUUUCCAGCAUUGUAGUGGUAAACCUUCAUAUAUGCGAAGCUCAGAUAUUUUGUAAUGGAGUAUAGUCCCAGACCUUCAAAUCGAAAGGUCUCAUAGAGCUGGGAAUAGAAAUUCAUCUUCAUUGCAUCACACCUGUUAACAUCCACUUGUUCUAAUACAACCAUAAACACCUCAGAAGUAUGUAAUUCUCACAUUCCCAAUCAACCAUUUUAUCAAUAAGAUUCUAAUAAUAAUUCUAAAACUAGUAACAGAUAGUUCAGAUUAGACAAUUAAUCAAGAAGAUUCUAAUAGUAGUUCUAGUAAGGAGGUCCUAGCAAAUACCACACAACUAACAACAACCAUAUUAGAUUAGUUUUGUGAAAGGGCACAUUUCUGCAAUACAUUACAAGUGUUUGGUUUGAAGUACUAUCACCCCCUUGAUAGUGAUAUUAAGUUAACUAAAAAGGAAAUUAACUAUAGAUUUCAAAAUCAAAAACAACUGCUUCAGUUAAAUCCAGUAAAAUCAUUUGAAAUGUAGCUUAACCAAGGAGGUUCUCCCUGUAAAAAAGGGUCUUAGCUCCACUACACCUCAUUCUAGUGGAUUGCAUCAUCACCAGCAAUUCAAUGAGAUAUAAUUCUUUGUUAAUCAAACAUAACAUCUUGUUUAAUGUUAAUCCAUUUUGAGCUCUAAAGCAAUAACGUAAUUGCAAAAACAUAUCAAGCUAAUAAGCUAUUAGCAAAUACAAAAACAUGAAUACCAAAUAAAUGGCUUCACACAUUUCCUAUCAAAAUAACUGCUCAUUACCAAACAAAAUAACUGCCACAUACAUAAGAUGACAUCUAAAUAGGAGACUUUUAACAAAAUAGGCUCAGACUUUUAAUAGCUCUAUCAAUCAAGAAUUUUCUGAAGCAGAACUGGCAUUAAAGCUAUGUUAUCAAUCAUCACAGCCAAUACAAUAAAUUAUAGAUUCAAAAUAAUAACAAAAAGUGCAUCUUCAAAUACAUAAAAUACGAACAUAAAGAUCAAAGUAGGCUCAUAUCAAGAAAUUCAACCAUUUUAUCCUUUAUGCUUCAUUGAUUACUCUCAGAAGCGCGGAUAAUCUAUAAUCAUAGCCAACAAUUUAGACUAUACAUAAUAUUAAAAUUUAACCUAUGGAAAUGUAGCGGAUGUAUUUAGAGGGGAAACAAAUAACGAAAAGUUAAACCUCCACGUUAACACCGCAGAGGAUUGAAUAUAUGCCUCCAUGACUAGACCUUUUUUCAGUAGUUGAGAUAAGAAAAAAAGCUAAAGGUGUGGUGAGGCAAAGCAUUAUUUAUGCAAUUAAUUGUAACAAGUACAUAUUUGAAAAUUUUUGGCGGUCGAUUUGACACAGAAAAGCCGUUGAAAGUUAGGUACGAAGGCUAAACUGCAACACUUGACGGCGAUAUUUAUAGCACGAGCAUUGGGGCUUUCUUCCUCAUCCAAAAACUGUUUCAGAGAAGCCCGGGGUGCUACGUGCAGAGGCUACUCAAAGUUACAAGUACAUAAAUUGAGAUAUACACAUGAAAAUCUAUAGAGAUAAAUAUCUUACGGGAAGUAAGCUACUCUCUAGA